GAUGAAGAACGUAGCGAAAUGCGAUAAGUAGUGUGAAUUGCAGAAUUCAGUGAAUCAUCGAAUCUUUGAACGCACAUUGCGCCCCUUGGUAUUCCAUGGGGCAUGCCUGUUCGAGCGUCAUUUGUACCUUCAAGCUCUGCUUGGUGUUGGGUGUUUGUCUCGCCUCUGCGUGUAGACUCGCCUCAAAACAAUUGGCAGCCGGCGUAUUGAUUUCGGAGCGCAGUACAUCUCGCGCUUUGCACUCAUAACGACGACGUCCAAAAGUACAUUUUUACACUCUUGACCUCGGAUCAGGUAGGGAUACCCGCUGAACUUAAGCAUAUCAAUAAGCGGAUGA
rnacentral:misc_RNA from 1 species